UACAGAGGGUGCAAGCGUUGUUCGGAAUUACUGGGCGUAAAGGGCGCGUAGGUGGCUUAACAAGUCAGAUGUGAAAUCCCGGAGCUUAACUCCGGAAGUGCAUUUGAAACUGUUUCGCUAGAGUGCAGUAGAGGUUGGUGGAAUUCCCAGUGUAGAGGUGAAAUUCGUAGAUAUUGGGAGGAACACCGGUGGCGAAGGCGACCACCUGGACUGAUACUGACACUGAGGUGCGAAAGCGUGGGGAGCAAACAGG
rnacentral:rRNA from 1 species